CACCGACCGUUUCUUGACCUUCAUGCUUGACCUUCGUCUUGUGCAUGACAUCACCCACACAAAGCACACAGCUGCCUUUAUGAAGAUAAAGGCUGUCUUUGUGUGUGUUGACGAUCUUAAGCGUGUAAUAUUGCAUGAAAAGUUUGUUUUGGGAUCAUUUUUAGUGGCAUAUUUACAGUUUAAACUACUAAUAAAGGAAAUUACAUAGAUUUUCAGCUUCUCGUGACAAGGCUGAGUGUUUAUUACUGUAAUAAGGAGAGUAAUGGUGGGCUCAUACCCCCGGGCCUCCUCCACGAGACGUCAUGGGAAGCCGUCGAGACACUUUUCCCAUCGGAGGCAGCUGUGUUGGCGAAGCCUACGAACUUUCACCCCCUAAACCUGUCACGAAUCGCUGACCUGACGUCUCAACCGCAGCGACAAUGAACUUUGAAAAACAAACGAUGCAGUUUUCCCCCCGACAGCUGCUUCCUGCUGGAUGUGCCUCUCGCGACCUUGCUUGAGCCGCAUGUUGAAAAGUGGGUCAUGCUGUCUGAUAAGGAAGUGCCAGUGCCGUGACUAUUCACAGAUGUGCAUGCAUGCCAUUGGGACCAAUCAGCAAAGGUGGUGAAAGUACUCAGAGUCUACUUACUGGAAUCGCAUUCUCCUCACUUCACUGUUUGCUCCUUUCCAUUUGUGGCCAAGUGGAGCAGAAGAGGAAAGAAGAGGUGGACUUGGCUUUAAUCCUGAUACUGCGUGUUGUUUGAUGUGAAAGCAUAGCGCCACAAGCAAUUAUGUUUAUCAGAGUUUUUUGUUAUUUUGUUUUUUUUACUCAGCCAUAACGAAAAUCUAAGGUUAAGUGUCUCAGGUUUGGGAAAAUAUGCCUUUUAUUCUUUGAAUGCCACAAUAUUUAUAAAUGGGUCAUUCCCUAUGUGGAGGAUGUUUUAUGUACUCAAUUCAUAUAAUUCAUACAGAAUAACUAAAACAUGCUGUUGAAGAAUCUAUUUAUUUGUCCUGAGACCACAGGAAAAAAGCUGAAAAAAAAAAAGCUUAAAAAUAUUUACAAUACCAAAUAAAUCGGGAUGUACCCCCAUUGUCCAA